AGCGAACGCUGGCGGCAGGCCUAACACAUGCAAGUCGAACGGAUCCUUCGGGAUUAGUGGCGGACGGGUGAGUAACACGUGGGAACGUGCCUUUUGGUUCGGAACAACUCAGGGAAACUUGAGCUAAUACCGGAUGUGCCCUUCGGGGGAAAGAUUUAUCGCCAUUAGAGCGGCCCGCGUCUGAUUAGCUUGUUGGUGAGGUAAAGGCUCACCAAGGCUACGAUCAGUAGCUGGUCUGAGAGGAUGAUCAGCCACACUGGGACUGAGACACGGCCCAGACUCCUACGGGAGGCAGCAGGUGGGGAAUCUUGCGCAAUGGGCGAAAGCCUGACGCAGCCAUGCCGCGUGAAUGAUGAAGGUCUUAGGAUU
rnacentral:rRNA from 1 species